GAAAGAGGUGGAGAGUAUUGAGAACUAUAAGACAUCAUGACAUGCAGAGGGGAUGGGGGAGAGGGGGAAAACGAAAGAGAAUUUUGCCGGCAAUCUGGAGAGAGAGGGCAAAAUUUUUUGGGAUGAAGAAGACAAUGCGGUGGAGGAUAAUAGUAGAAAGAGGGAAUGAAUAGAGACAAUUUUUCUAUGAAUGGAGUUCAUCAUUUUGUUUGUGAACAAAUAGAUAUAAUAAGACUCUUUUUCAAAAUUUUCAUAAUAAAUAUGAUGGACUAGGUGUUGACUGCCAUCUCCUAUCAUGUUGAGCAAAAUCAAGUGUUUCGGAAGAGUUUUGCUUUAUGACACAUCUAUUUAAUAUCAUAUAUCUUAUCAAAAUUAAUGCCCUUUAAUACACUCCAAAUCUUGAAUAAAAUCGAAUAUGCCCAAAAUUCAGUAUGAAAUCUAAUAUGUUGAACAGGAAAAAAAAAUACCUGGCGGACCCUAGGUUAUCCUAACUCUCCUUUAAUAUAGAAACUAGUGAAGGUGCUUGCGUUUCGCAAUGGAUAGAAAUUGUAGGAGUAAUUAAUAAUAGGGAUAAUUGCCUAUAUACCCCUCAUGCGUCUGGAAAUAUCCGAUCUACCCCUACUUUUUUUUUCUUUCUAAAAUGUCCCUCAUAUGUUCUACCGUUAUUCCAAAAUGCCCCCGCAGUUAUCCCCUGUUAGCUUAACUCGGGUUAAACAUUGGUUAAGUGUAUACUAGAGUUAAAACCUAAAUAAAAUACCUAUUUUGCCCCUACCUUAUUAUACUAAUAUCUUAAAUUAUCCCAUCACCCCUCUGACCGUUCUCAUCGUCCUCCUCCUCCGCCGCUCCCGUCGCCGUCGUCCUCCUCUGCCGCCUUGGCCAGCACUG
rnacentral:lncRNA from 1 species